UACGGAGGGUGCGAGCGUUGAUCGGAAUUACUGGGCGUAAAGGGCGCGUAGGUGGUUUGGUAAGUCGGUUGUGAAAGCCCCGGGCUUAACCUGGGAAUUGCAUUCGAUACUGCCUGGCUAGAGUAUGGUAGAGGGAAGCGGAAUUCCGGGUGUAGCGGUGAAAUGCGUAGAUAUCCGGAGGAACACCAGUGGCGAAGGCGGCUUCCUGGACCAAUACUGACACUGAGGCGCGAAAGCGUGGGGAGCAAACAGG
rnacentral:rRNA from 1 species